rnacentral:misc_RNA from 1 species
CUAUAGGAACAGAAUACUUAUCUUUUGUUGAAUUAAUAUCAUUAUUUUCAUCUUCAUGUUUUUGCAGAAAGCUUAAUUUCCGUAAAGAUUGAAUCUCUUCAUCCCUCACCGAUAGAGCAUUUUUCAAUUCUCUUAUCUGCAGUGCCAAUUCAAAGAACCCAUCUCGAUUUUUCUUCUCCACAUCACCAAGCCUCUUCCUCACUCCCUUAUAAUUCCGAAGGACCAUCAUGUACUCCUCCAGUAAAAGCUUUUCUCUAUCUUCUAGACCACUCGCAAAAAGACGCCUCCAGUUUGGUUGAUCUUCUUCCUCAUCAUUCCCCAGUUCCUCUACCAGAUUGUCAAGAUUAGUCUCUGCAUGUGACAAAUCUUUCUUCCCAUCAUCAGACUUUUGGUUUGGGUCAAAUCCCUUGGCUUCGAUAGAAUUCGUAACCUCAUCUUUCUUCUCUUCCUUUUCUUUACUCUCUCCGUCUGUUUCGGUAUAUGGGGCAGCUACCUCAGCUACCUCAUCUUUAGUCAUGCCUGCAUUCUCUACAUCCUCAUCUGGCUUCACAGUUUGUAACUUCACUGUCAAAUGAUCAAUGUUACAACUUGCUACAGUGAAAUGUGAUUGAAGGCUCUGAUUUUGGUCUUUGACAUUUUGGUCAAGGCUUUUCACUCUGUGCAUUUCCUCCUCCAACUCCUUUAGCUUGUUG